GGCCUUAUGGUCUAGUAGUAUGAUUCUCCCUUUGGGUUAUUGUCUUGAUUGGGAGAGGUCUUGGGUUCAAUUCCCAAUGAGGCCC